CUUAACUUACUUAAGCUCCACUGACUUUUUGGGCUAUACUGAUUGAUGGUUCACAUUUGGACUUAUGAACUCGGUGUUCAGUCCAAAUUCAAAAAUACGCUUUUCUGAGUGAACAGGGACAACUUUUUGACGUUAUAGUGAAUUUGCUGCAUGCUCUGAGCGCACAGGGGACAGGAUGAGAGCUUUGUCUGGUGCAGACACUUAGAAUAGUCUCACUUCCUGUAUUUAGCAAGCCUCCUCCCUGUUGUGCUUCCUCUUUUCAGAUCUCGGCUUGUCCCUCUGAAGAGCCUCGGUUCACUCGACGUAAAGAAGCCACUCAGUGGGAACAGAGGCAGCUUGUGCCACAGAGUAACACACAAACUGAAUUUAAAGGAAGUCGUUGACAGGAUAAAAAUAUAUGAAUCAUGUUGCCCUUUGGCGUUUCAUCCUGAACCUGUUGAAAGCAGGUUUCCUGAAAGCUGCUGCGUCACGAGACAUAUCGAUUGUCUCCAGAGUGGAGUUGGCUGAGCCACACACACAGGUUCCCCUGGUGUUAUAUUACUACGUACCCAAGUAUCAGAACACAAGGAGAAGAGGUUAAGAUGAGUAAAUGAAGUGCAUGCUCCCUUGCACUGGAGCAGCCAUGAAAGCAUACAUAAAUCUAGAUGCUAACCAGUUUUUUUGCUCAUGCCAGGCGAUAUGAUGGGAGGGUAUUUUCUCAAAUGAUUAGACAUGCACCUUCUCCAUAAUGCAAUAUUUGAUUUUGUCUUAAUAAACUUACUUACAAAAAGUAUAUUGUUAAUUUUCUCACCUUGUAAAAAGUGUUCACUGCAAAUCUGAUUAGUUUUUCCUGUUCUAUUACAUGCACACUCCAGGGUUUCCCCCAGAAAACUUGCUAAGCCUGGAGCUCGGGGCGCUAGGGCAGUCAUUCAUCCAGCACCAAGUCGUGUUUUUGAGUUAAAAAAUGUUUACAGUUGACAGGAAAUUUGAAAAUAUCACUUGAUACUUAUGCAUUAUUGGAAGACUGAAAGAUUAAUCCCUAAACACCAACUGUAAAGUCUUUUAAAAAAAGGUAAUAAUAAAAAAAAAACUAAAAUAAAUAAAAAAAGGUAAGCAUGGUGUGGGCACAAGUGAAGCCUGGUGGCCCGCCAGGCUUUUAAUGCACUGUGGGAAACCCUGUACUCAGUAAGAUACAACAUUUGUGGUUGCAAUGUAAAAAAAAAGGAAAGAAAACUGUAUCAAGGGUUCAUACUGUUUGCAAUGAAAUAAAGUAACAGAAUCCCGGUGAUACUUUCUUCCACACACAACAACGCGAGUCAUUUAGAUGUUUCAUGUUUCUGCUAAAGCAGUUUUACAUAAGACUCUCCAAAAAUAAUUUCAAAUAUCUUUCUCAAAAUAUAGAUACAGUGACUUGGUUACGUUGUUUUUUCUUCAGAUGGGCCUGGAAACGAUCAGUGGUCUUUUCCUCUUCAUUUGCUGCCAGUGGACCAUAUCCGACGUUUCCCCGGACUUAUCUUUGCUCGGCUGACACUUGACAAUGAACAAAGACGAUCAUGCAAAGGUGCACAUUCACUCAUUCUGAUGGAUUUUCAUCCGUUUGUCCCUUUUAAAAGAAUAUGGAGAAGAUGCAUGAAGAGUCCUCAGGGAUUUGCUGUGACCAAAGCUGGAGCCCGAGGCAGGAUGUUUGACAUUUCACUUUGACCCCUUACUUACGUAAAAGGGAGCUGGAGCUGUUCUCUGCAGGCCUCUUUGGAUGCAAACGUUCUUAUUGGAUGAAGAAAGGAUUAUGCAGUUUAUUUCAUGAGGAUUUUUUUUUUUUUUGCUCUUCCCAAAUAUUUGAAUGUCCUUUUGUUCCAAAAUCUUAGAUCUGAUAAACUUGUUGUGUUGCAAAUCUAUAUGAACGAGCAGAUAAAACUUACUUGUGCACUUCUGUUAUUUAGGGCCAUCAAAUUAAAUGGGGCUAAACAGAAACAGAGGUCACACUUUUCAGAUUUUAGUUGUAAAAACAGUUCAGAGGGUGUGACUAACUUUGUAAAGAAAUGUAGACCUUGUGACCGUUCUCCAUUCUGCACAUUUCGUCCUUUCAAUUAUCUACUUUGUUCCCAAAUGAACACUUUGUUUUCAACUUUUGUUCUCAGUAUCUGAUGCAGCUGGUGUGUCAGCAAUACCACCACUUUAGCAGCUCCCGCCUAACCCCUUAUAUAUCAAGUCUGAGCUUCUCAGCUGUUGUGUCAGGAUCACUCUGAGGAGCUUUCCUGCCUGAUCUAUCACUAUUAACACGGCAGAGGAGACAGGCAGGUAGUCGUUUGCCUCCCCAACAUGGUUUUGCUUUUGCAUGAACAGAACAAGAUGUACAAGUGGCAGCGCCUGUUGUUGUUAUUGUUUGCCUGAUCCGCUGUGGGGAAAAUAAAUAUUUGAUACACCAAAAUUUCCAAGUUUCUCCUCUUAAAAAAAUAAGAGGUCUUUAAUUUUCAUGGGUUAUUAUAACUAUUCCAGCAGAACCUAAGUAAAAUCAUCUGUAAAUCACAUUGAGUGAUUUUAAAAUAUUUCAUUUGGAUUCUAUUGAAUGAAAUAUAUACUCCUAAUUACACAGGUCGAACAUUGGUUCUUGAUCAUGUUUACACACAUUUCAGCAGUGAUUCUCCUUCAUAUGAAUAUUUUUCAGACUUUCAGUUUCCUCCACAGAUUUUUCCAUCCAUACUCUCCUCCAUACAAUGCAAUUGUCCUGCGUCCUUUGCAGGAAAGCACAUCAACGCAUGAUGUUUCCAUGCUGAUACGUCAAGGUUUGGAUGGGGUUAGAGGGAUGUACUUAUCCUUCUUCUGCCAAACACAGCAAGUGGAGUUCAUGCUAGAAUGUCCUGUUCUGUUCUGGUCUCAUCUGACCACUCAGCCUUCUCCAGUGCCUUCUCAGAUGGUCAUUGGCAAACUUCAGACGGGCCUGGACAUUCGGUGGCUUCAGUAUUUUAAUUCAGACUGGGGUAGCGAAUGCCUGGUCUUUUUUGAGACUGUGGUCCCAGUUCUUGUUAGGUAAUUGACCAGGUCCUCCCAUGACAUAAGAUCUUGUAGUAGUUCAAGGGAGAUUGACAUCAUCUUCACCUUCUUCCACUUUCUAACACUUCACUGGUGUCCUUAGAUAGCUUUUUGGUUCUUGCCCAUGGUGGAGAGUGAAGACUGAUUGACAUGCAGGCAGGUUAUUUUUAUUCAUAUAACAGGUUCAGUCAGUAGCAUUUAAUACAAGUAAGAACUGGAGGAUAUGUACCAGGUAAAAAACCAGCCCCUUGUUCUAUGUGUCACCUUGUACAGAGGAUCUGGACCCUGGACUGUUGGAAAACAAUUGAUUACAGGAGGUGUGGACUCUGUUGAAGUUUCAAUACCCAAUCACUCACAUUUGGCCCUGACACAUGUAAU